UGGCGAGUGGCUGAUGAGUGGAUGUGCUGCAGGUGAGAACCAGGUGUGCGUAAUGAGCUCAUAAUGUGGGAUGAUCUGAAAUGACAAGAGUAAGAAAACAUGCAGGUAAGAUGAAAAAAAAGUGCGAUCAACUUUGUGACAUAACGACAUACAACCUUACCGAUAUAUAACCUUUGUAGGUAUACAUAUGACAUUUGUAGGUAUAAAGAUAUAUAACCUCUAUAGAUAUACAGAUAUAUAACCUCUGUAGAUUUAAGCAAUAAGUUGCCUUUAUAAUACGGUACCAGCGAAAUUAUAAAUAUUAAGUAAAUAGUUGCCUUUUAGCACAAAAUAGUUGUAGCCACCAAACAUUGUGUAUCUCAUUUCAGUAGUCUACAGAAAAAUACUCCCUGUACGUGCAUGUAAACCGCAUUGGGUUCAUUCGAUGACGUCCACCUUAAUUGUCCGGUUGCAAAAGUUCGCAUUGCCUGAAACUGAUCAUUUGUGGGACUUUUUUCGGUCUUUUUUCUGCGAUCGGCACCGAGCUAAAAGCUAAAAUGUCAAUCAGUCGCGCGAAAGCUAACCUGUUACUUUGAGUGCGCAGUGAUGUGGAACGUUCGGUCAAUGUGAACAGGUACUGUACAUUAUCGCCCAAUUAUAGAGCCCCCAUGACUCACUCUCAACCAAUCAGAACACUGGAUUGCAUCUACCCGUGUUAUAGUAUACAGAUAUAUAACCUCUAUACAUAUAAAGAUAGGAAUAUUUUUUUAUACAAUAUAAUGCUAAAGGGAACAUUGCUGACUGAAAACAUGAAUCCUCAAAAGAACAUGAGCUGUUUUUGUUCUGCAACCAAAAGAAUUACACAUGAAACAAUUAAACCUGUUUCCUUUCAUCUGUGAAUGGUGAGGUCGAAAGGGCCUGGGGUGCGUCUGUUUGUGUGUAUGUAAAAGGGGGGGGGGCGGGGGUGUGUGUGUGCGCGCGGGGUGCGUGCAUGGGUGCGUGUGUGUGUGUGUAUGUGUGCGCGCGGGGUGCAUGCGUGUGUGUGUGCGCGCGGGGUGCGUGCAUGGGUGCGUGUGUGUGUGUGUGUGUGCGUGUGUGUGUGUGCGGGGUGGUGUGUGUGUGUGCGUGUGUGUGUGGGUGCGUGCGGGGUGGUGUGUGUGUGUGCGUGUGUGUGUGGGUGCGUGCAUGGGUGCGUGUGUGUGUGUGCGCGGGGGGUGUGCAUGUGUGUGCGUGUGUGCGUGCGUGUGUGUGCGCGGGGGGUGUGCAUGUGUGUGUGUGUGUGCGUGUGUGCGUGUGCGUGUGCGUGUGUGUGUGUGUGUGUGUGUGUGCGCGGGGUGCGUGUGUGAUUGAGCGAGCUUUAGUAAUAUACAAUUGAAUACCCUGACACCCGAUGGUCUUCAUCCUGAGGGCACAUCCUCCUCUCUCAAGAACGCUCUGUCUUCAUCACAGUCUGGUGAACAUCUUGUUGUUUUUGUCACAGUUUUCAGGACAUCCUGUUGUUGUAAUUACAGUCUUUUUGACAUCAUUUUGUCUUGUUAUGUCUGGCAGGAGGAAGCUGAAAACAGAAGAGUACAUCAUAAUGGUCCUCCUUUGAGUAAAUGUAAUUCAAUCCGGAGAGACUUGUUGAAAUUUGAAUAAUGCUUUAUUAUAACAGGUAUAAUAUGAUAUUGCAAGUUGUUUGGGGCUUGGACUCCAUCCUGCCGCAGAAUAGAGCCGGGGCCGGGAUCUCGAGCCGAGACGAGGCACAUCCCCCCCUUGGGAGUCCAGACACUGGUGGUGGUGGUAGAGCCCACGUUGCAUAAUUCUCCUGCUACGCCAGGUUCUGCUGUAGACUGGAGGUGUCCGGGGUGGUGGCGGGUGACCUUUGCCGGUGGUGGCGGGUCACCUUUGGGGGUGGUGGCGGGUCACCUUUGGCGGUGGUGACGGGUCACCUUUGGGGGUGGUGGCGGGUCACCUUUGGGGGUGGUGGCGGCUUCACCUUUGGGGGUGGUGGCGGGUCACCUUUGGCGGUGGUGACGGGUCACCUUUGGGGGUGGUGGCGGGUCACCUUUGGCGGUGGUGGCGGGUCACCUUUGGGGGUGGUGGCGGGUCACCUUUGGAGCGAGCUGAAAUGACAACUGACGGCACAAGAGAGGAGAACCGUUUUUUCGCCUAAGCUUCAUUUAGUUGCUUUCCCACUCUGUGCUUUACUGCUUUUAGUGACAGGUGUUUGUUAGAGUUUCCAGAUGCUUCUCCAGUACGGAGGUCCAGCUGUAAGAGAAGCAACGCUCUACUUCAUUAAAAAAAGACUCAAAUAAGGAAGAAGGAACAGAAGAGAGUUACCUGUGAAGACUCAGAUGUGACGAGAGAGGAAGAGGACGAUGAUGAGGAAGUCAUCUUCAGUCUCCAGAGUGACUUCAGCAGGAGCUUUCAACUCCUCGGGUGUCCUACAAAAGUGAGAUUAUUGUGACCUUCAGUAUUCACAACUGGAGAUCAAGUUGUCCAUGACAAACGUCUGUGGGUAAGAGCUAUUUAUAUCAUAGAAUCUUCCAACCCUUCAGAAGAACAAAGGAUCUCCUCCUGUUCUGCUUCAAACACAAAUAGAGAACAAAGAUCGGCAAACUUGGAUGUGUAUUCAUAAACACAGCAUUAAAAUAUAUUAACAUCACUUUGUUCUCGCUGUACUUUUCGGAGUCCCUCGGCUCCUUUAAAUCUAGAUUAAAGACUUCUGUUGGAUGCUGCUUUUAAUUUACUGUGUUUAGUAUUUUGGUACUUUUAAACUACACUGCAGAAUUUAUUCUAUUUUUAGUUUUUUAACGUUGUUUUUUGAAUGACUUUUUCUUUCAUGUUUCAAUCAUCGGACCAAGGACUCAUCUCUUUUCUUGUCUUACUGGACCUCAGUGCCACAUUUGACACAAUUGAUCGUUGUAUCCUGUUGCAGAGACUAGAACAUUUGACUGGUAUUAAACAAACCGCCCUCAGCUGGUUUUAGUCGUAUUUAUUGGAUCGAUCCAGUUGGUGUUUGUAAAUGGUCGAUCAGCGAUGACCACCAAUGUUGGUCACAGAGUCCCAGAAGGUUCUGGGCUUGGACCGAUUUAGUUUACCCUCUAUUUGCUUCCUUUGCUACCUUUGACCCGCUGACACAGGUGGGCGUGGCAGUCAGGAACACUUCUAUCAUGUUUACCUGCUUCUUUGCAUUCACUUUAGUUUUAAUCUUGCUUUAAACUUCUCUUCCCUUUAAGACGAGCCUAGAAACUAAAUGUAAAAUAACGUGAUGGGACAAAAAUGUGUAACAGUCUACUGAGCACGUAGCUGUUGUGACCCUUGUCUCCUAGCAAGGAAAUAAAUGGAGAAAGACAUUUGAUUCAGAAAUUAAUUAAUGUUAAUGUGUUAAUAAAAUGUUAAUAAAAUGUUACCCACAGAGAUUUUCCGAUUGUCUGUGCAAAUCUUCCAUCACAAACCAUGGUGAUGAACACAAUGUCAUGUAAUUGCAUGUAUUAUACAUUGUUCUGUACACAUGGCAUCCAUUGUAGUCUGUCCAUCAGGAGACGGAUCCCUCCUCUGACCUUCUCACUAAGGUUUCUACCCUUUUUUUCCCUCUUGGAAGGUUUUUUCAUUGUUUGGGGAGUUGUUCCUGUGCCGAUGGAGGGUUUCUGGACAGAGGAUGUUGUAUGUGUACAGACUGUAAAGCCCUCUGAGGCAAAUUUGUAAUUUGCGAUUUUGGUCUAUACAAAAUAAAAUUAAUUGAAUUAAAUGAAUUAAACGUCAAAGUUAUAAACACAAUAUCUUUGCUCUUUUCACAGGAGAUUGCCGGGUUUUCAAGAGAGUUAUUCGCCAUAUUUUAUAUCUGAUUAUUGACCAGUUUGCCAGUCUUCUUGUCCCUUGUUUGAGCACUCUGAGGUGAGUAAAAGAUUCAUUAGCUGCCGCGUUUAAACCAAAAGACCCCCUCUCGUGCGCUCAUAUUUACCAGCUGAAGGGCCAACCACGAAGGCAGCGUUUGUUGACUGAAGGAUGAACGUGAAUGUGAGUCUGUGAUUGUCUUUGUGUCCUCAGCUGAAGAGUUGCUCUGUAAUUUGUUUGCCUGCUGAAGAGUGUCAGCUGAAGUCUGGCGUCUUUAAAAGCUCAGCCUGACAAGUAAAUGGAUGAAAAUUGCCAGAGAAGAAGCUUGUUUGGGAUUUUGUUUUGAUUUCCCGCAGAAUGACAUUCCUUUUAGGAAAUGGCAGAGUGAUAAAUGAUUGUGGAUUCUGUUGGGUUGGGGCGACCCUGAUUUAGACCUGGGGUAUCUUUCUCUUUGCCGUAAUGUCCCCCAUUUACCCCUCACCGGAUGCACAAAUGGAUGUCGAUAUUCUUUGUGCCAUCAAAAGUCCAAACUUGUGCGCAAAUACCGUCCUGACUUUAUUAAGUACGGCUUCGUAAACGGAGGUAAUGAGGCGGAGCCGAGAGCCCAGUGUGUGGAGUGUGGACUAACGCUCUCCAACAAAGCAUUGAAGCCGUCAAAAUGAAUGUGCCACUUUGAAAGCAAACAUCCAACGCUUGUGGGAGUUCUGGUUCACAGCCAGGGCUGGCUCAGGUUCACAGUCAGGGCUGGCUCAGGUUCACAGUUAGGGCUGGCUCAGGUUCACAGUCAGGGCUGUCUCAGGUUCACAGUCAGGGCUGGCUGAGGUUCACAGUCAGGGCUGGCUGAGGUUCACAGUCAGGGCUGGCUCAAGUUCACAGUCAGGGCUGGCUCAGGUUCACAGUCAGGGCUGGCUGAGGUUCACAGUCAGGGCUGGCUCAAGUUCACAGUCAGGGCUGGCUCAGGUUCACAGUCAGGGCUGUCUCAGGUUCACAGUCAGGGCUGGCUGAGGUUCACAGUCAGGGCUGGCUCAAGUUCACAGUCAGGGCUGGCUGAGGUUCACAGUCAGGGCUGGCUCAGGUUCACAGUCAGGGCUGGCUCAAGUUCACAGUUAGGGCUGGCUCUGGUUCACAGUCAGGGCUGUCUCAGGUUCACAGUCAGGGCUGGCUGAGGUUCACAGUCAGGGCUGGCUCAAGUUCACAGUCAGGGCUGGCUGAGGUUCACAGUCAGGGCUGGCUCAGGUUCACAGUCAGGGCUGGCUCAGGUUCACAGUCAGGGCUGGCUGAGGUUCUCAGUCAGGGCUGGCUCAGGUUCACAGUUAGGGCUUGCUCAGGUUCACAGUCAGGGCUGGCUCAGGUUCACAGUUAGGGCUGGCUCAGGUUCACAGUCAGGGCUGGCUCAGGUUCACAGUCAGGGCUGGCUGAGGUUCACAGUCAGGGCUGGCUCAAGUUCACAGUCAGGGCUGGCUCAAGUUCACAGUCAGGGCUGGCUCAAGUUCACAGUCAGGUCUCGCUGAGGUUCUCAGUCAGGGCUGGCUCAGGUUCACAGUCAGGUCUGGCUGAGGUUCUCAGUCAGGGCUGGCUCAGGUUCACAGUUGGCUCAGAUUUCUGCUGUUGUCUGCUUAGUAGUAGUGAACAGUCAGCUUGUUCUCUGACCACGUUGAUUUUUUUUAACCUUACUCAAACGCCUUCUCGUGAAGUGAAUAUUUUCUUCAUGCACGUCAUGUUCUGUUUACAGUAAAAUGAUCUGAUAGAUUAAAGUCUGAUGGUAAAAAGAUAAAGUAAUAAUCAUCUUAUAAUACAGAGGGAACAUUCUCCUUUAGUCACAGCUUCCCCUGGAGUAUCCGGUGGAUGUUCCUCCAAACAUGUUUAUUCAUAAGAGCCAGAUAUGUAUUUAUAUGCAUUUAUUUAGUGGACUGAAGCCAUAUUGGCAGAGCUCCCCAUUUCAAAGCUGUUUUGAUCACAUUUCUGUGUAAAUACUGAGAUUCAGCCUCUAUACGUGCUCAAGAAGAAAAAAUUACAGAAAUAUAAGUGUGUGUGUGUGUGUGUGGGCGAGCGAGCAACACUUUGUUUUGUCAUGUCGAGGGCUCUGCCUGAGAAGGAAAUUGGAAACAGCAUUCUUCUUUCAUCUCUCUGCCUCCCCACCAACUCAAACACACACACAUUCCCUCAAAAAUCACACAUCUUUUCCUCCAGCUAGUUGAUCCCACCUGAAAGCUCUCUGAUGCAAACACGUGAACCUCUGAACACACUGAUGAAUCCUGAAGCAGGCAGCAGAGGUGUGUGUGUGUGUGUGUGUGUGUGUGUGUGUGUGUGUGUCUCCUCCGUUCAUAAAAGCAGAUCUUGAGGUGAUAGAAAACAAACAAUGAAGACGUCUGAAAUGAAAGCAGGAAAACAAAAGAGGAUUUAAGAGAAUCUGAGUCUGCAGCUUUUAAUUCUUUUCUCUCUGGGUCACACACACACACACUUUCACUUUGAUGUAAUGAAAACUUGUUAGAAGACGUACUGUUUUACGUAACUACAUUAAAGCUGUUUAAACUUUACAGCCUUCGUGGACUUUUUAGAGGCAGUUUGAAUCACGUCGUUAUCGUGAAAACAUGUUUUUGAAGACACUACAACUUGUGUCUGCCUGGUUGGCACUUUCUGCUUUGCCCUCUGACCUUUCACUCCUCAACCAGUGACUCCCUACAUGAGAACUGGGAAAAUCGUUUUCGAUUAUCACUUAUUGUGUUACAUGUGUUCAAUGACACACUCUCUCUCUGAGUGGCGCUGAGAGCGAUGACGUUUUGCAGCUGGUCGGCGUGCUAAACGCCGCCAUGGACCCGGAGGUCCAGAGAAGACCUCCACUGGUCACAACUGAGACGGCAGGAAGGACAACCGAGGACAGUGGGGGUCCAGCAGGGGGUGAAAAAGGGACAGGUCGAGUCCAGGAGAGUGUGGUGAGUGAAUGCAGAGUCCAGCUGGUGGAGAGAGGGACUCUCAUUAUGUAUUGAUUCAUAUGCUCCUCGGUAUGUAUUGAUCUGCUGCCGCCUCACUGACAACAAAUUGGUUGUGAAAGUGAAAGUGAAAGAGGAAAAGGUCAAAUUGCUCUGUUUGUAAAAGGUCAAAGCUCACCUGUGACUGUUACACCUCCAGUUAGAGUAUCAGACUGAAGAAGUGCGCCCGAGAACAAUUGAAGGACCAUAAACUACAACAGAUUUACAGCGCCUUGCAUAAGUCAUUUCAUUGGGAUUUUAUGUAAUGGACCAACACAAAACAGUCCACCAUAUGGAUUUUACUAACAAACCCUGACAAAGAUCUGGGUCAACCAAUUGCCCUCACAGGUUUUCAAGUCACAUAAUUAUUAGAUUUGGUGCAACGUCUCAGGAUAAAUACACUACUGUAUUAGUGUGAUGCAUUACUGUGUAGUGUAGUCGGACAUGUAGUCCGACAGGAAGUCACCAUGUUCAUGUAGUCCGACAGGAAGUCACCAUGUUCAUGUAGUCCGACAGGAAGUCGCCGUGUUCAUGUAGUCCGACAGGAAGUCGCCGUGUUCAUGUAGUCCGACAGGAAGUCGCCGUGUUCAUGUAGUCCGACAGGAAGUCGCCGUGUUCAUGUAGUCCGACAGGAAGUCACCAUGUUCAUGUAGUCCGACAGGAAGUCACCAUGUUCAUGUAGUCCGACAGGAAGUCGCCAUGUUCAUGUAGUCCGACAGGAAGUCGCCGUGUUCAUGUAGUCCGACAGGAAGUCGCCGUGUUCAUG
ensembl:lncRNA